AUGCUGCCCCUCCGGAUGAUGAUAGCCUUGCUAUCCAUGUCUUUGGUUGUUGUGUCCCCUGCAAUGGGCAUACCAACGGACGACAAGUGCAAGUGCCUCAUGUGCGUCUGCGACCUGGAUCCGCACCCUCUGCCACCGGCAAUGCCGUCGCACCACCCAGCCCCUUACCCGCCACCGUCCGAGCCAGAGCCACGGCCAGAGCCAAAGCCAAAGCCUCAGCCUGAGCCUGAGCCACAGCCGGAACCAGAGCCAGAGCCACGGCCAGAGCCAAAGCCCAAGCCUCAGCCUGAGCCUGAGCCACAGCCGGAACCAGAGCCUGAGCCGGAGCCUGAGCCACAGCCGGAGCCGAAGCCAGAGCCGAAGCCACAGCACUGCCCGCCUCCGCCGGAGCCUGUGCCGACGCCAGUGUACUACUACUACCCACCGCCGUCGGAGCCGGAACCAACGCCCGUGUACUACCUUCCACCGCCGGCUGAGCCGUACGAGUACCCGUACGUGCAGCCGGCGCCGGUGUUUGGCAUAGUGGGGACGCCGGGGCAGAUGUACCCGCGUGACAGCAUGUUCAACCCGUCCACCGCCCACCGGAAGCUCUGUCGUGGAAUAUCCUCCAUAUUCCUCGCCUCCUCGAUCGUGGCAGCAGGGCUACUGACAUUGCUCAUAUAA
rnacentral:rRNA from 1 species